AGGUCACUGACAUUAGAUACCCGGGUAGUCCAGGGUGUAAACGCUGCAGACUUGGUGUUGGAGGCCCUUUGGGGGCAUUCAGUGCCGGAGAGAAGUUGUUAAGUCUGCUACUUGGGGAGUACGUCCGCAAGGAUGAAACUUAAAGGAAUUGGCGGGGGAGCACCGCAACGGGAGGAGCGUGCGGUUUAAUUGGAUUCAACACCGUAAAACUCACCAGGGAAGACUGUUACAUGAAGGCCGAGAUGAAGACUCUGCUAGAUUUUCAG
rnacentral:rRNA from 1 species